rnacentral:rRNA from 1 species
CCUACGGGAGGCAGCAGUGAGGAAUAUUGGUCAAUGGUCGGGAGACUGAACCAGCCAAGCCGCGUGAGGGAUGAAGGUACAGAGUAUCGUAAACCUCUUUUGUCAGGGAACAAAGGCGGGGACGUGUCCCCGGAUGAGUGUACCUGAAGAAAAAGCAUCGGCUAACUCCGUGCCAGCAGCCGCGGUAAUACGGAGGGUGCGAGCGUUAUCCGGAUUUAUUGGGUUUAAAGGGUGCGCAGGCGGGCUGUUAAGUCAGGGGUGAAAGGCCGGGGCUCAACCCCGGCCCGGCCGUGGAAACUGGCAGUCUCGAGUUGGAGAGAAGUAUGCGGAAUGCGCGGUGUAGCGGUGAAAUGCAUAGAUAUCGCGCAGAACUCCGAUUGCGAAGGCAGCAUGCCGGCUCCACACUGACGCUGAGGCACGAAAGCGUGGGUAUCGAACAGGAUUAGAUACCCUUGUAGUC